rnacentral:tRNA from 1 species
CUUGUACUAGUACGAGUAGUACUAGUAGUACUUGUACUACUACGACUAAGACUAAUAGUACUUGUACUACUACGAGUAGUACGAGU